AUUGCUUCUUGACCUUUUGGCUAAGAUCAAGUGUAGUAUUUGUUCUUAUCAGUUUAAUAUCUGGUAUGUCCUCUAUCUGAGGAUGUUAUAUUAAAUGGAUAUUUGGAGGUAGGAGUUGGAAUAGGAGCUUGCUCUGACUACUCCAAGCAUUGUCCUGGUAUUGUAGUAUCUCCAGGAACGGUGCACCUUUU